rnacentral:rRNA from 1 species
GUGAACCUGCGGCAGGAUCAUUA